CAAACAUGAUGAGGAAGAACAUAAAUUAUUCCGAUUAAUUUCAUGAAGGAAUAUCAACCUCCUACUCAUUCUGA
rnacentral:snoRNA from 1 species